rnacentral:rRNA from 1 species
ACGUAGGUGGCAAGCGUUGUCCGGAAUUACUGGGUGUAAAGGGAGCGCAGGCGGGCUAGCAAGUUGGAAGUGAAAUCUAUGGGCUCAACCCAUAAACUGCUUUCAAAACUGCUGGUCUUGAGUGGUGCAGAGGUAGGCGGAAUUCCCGGUGUAGCGGUGGAAUGCGUAGAUAUCGGGAGGAACACCAGUGGCGAAGGCGGCCUACUGGGCACUAACUGACGCUGAGGCUCGAAAGCAUGGGUAGCAAACAG